UGAGUAACACGUAUCCAACCUGCCGUCUACUCUUGGACAGCCUUCUGAAAGGAAGAUUAAUACAAGAUGGCAUCAUGAGUCCACAUGUUCACAUGAUUAAAGGUAUUCCGGUAGACGAUGGGGAUGCGUUCCAUUAGAUAGUAGGCGGGGUAACGGCCCACCUAGUCUUCGAUGGAUAGGGGUUCUGAGAGGAAGGUCCCCCACAUUGGUACUGAGACACGGACCAA
rnacentral:rRNA from 1 species